GCACUGCUGAGGCGUCCCAUACCAGGACGAAACGGCCGUCUAGUGC
rnacentral:hammerhead_ribozyme from 1 species